CGAGGGGAUACAGCUGGCAUGAGAUAGCGAGCGAGUGUGCGUGCACGUGCGCGCGUCUCGGGGGAGUUAUGUGGCAUCGUGUAUGUGUGUGUGUGCGAGAGAGAGAGAGGAAGGAGAGAGAGAGCGCGCGCGCGUUAGGGAACGUGCAGAGAGAAACAUCUACAGGCUAUUCUUAGCUGCAGACAUUUGGAAAUUAAUGGACAGAGUUCUCCCUCCCCCGUCUCUCGCUCUUCCACCCCCGUUCCUCACUCUCUCUGGAUCCGAGCCGAUGCUAGUGCUCUUCCCUCUCGCCCUCUCCCUUCAGUCCGGCAUGCAUGUCACUAAUGCUCAAGGUACGGCCGUCCCUAAUGUCCCUCGUCCAUUGCCAUUGCCGGGCAUUCUGAAAUCAAAUGCACAACUCAGGCUACAUGAUGUGUAAAUGAAAUUGAGUCUAUAUAUGCCUAAAAAGACCCUGUGACUAUAUGAAUGAUAUGAAUAUGGAUUUGUGGUUUCUACUGCUCUUCGUGUUGGGUUGGUGCUGCUCUUUUUGAGAACAGAACGGAAGUGGCGUAGCAGCCCUCCAAACCUCGGUCCAGUGUGAUCUAUUAUAGGUUUUAAUUGAUUGCCGCCCGAAAUAGCCGCCGCUUUGAAUGGUAAAUGAUCAAGAGGACAUGGACUUAAGGGCGACCUGCGAAUUAGUCCAUAUCUGCAGUCAUCAUCUGGUCAAUGUAUAAACUUGAUGGUGAGACAACGUUCUUGUGGGAGAAAGAAGACGACCUAUAUUGGCGCGACAUUAACUGUUAUCGCUUAUCGGGUAUCACAUGAAGCGUGGAUCAAUGUUUUCUUCAGAUGUGCCUUCAGCGGUGAGAGACCCACUGUCAGGAUCUAGGUCUAACAAGGUUGUCUCUAUACACUGUACACUGUCAUUCUUUUGGUGGAAACCCUUUACUUGAACCAUUCGAGUAACCCAACUCAAAGUAUUGCAGUGUUCAAUACUUAUAGUAAUAAAGUGACAUCACCACCCAUAUGGUUAUCUUUUAAAGUUGUAAAUACUUAACUGUUUUGUGUUCUAUUAACUUAUUUGCGUUAUGUAUUCUGAACUAUAACGAUUGAAGUUACUUGAAUAUGAAUAUUUGUUGUAGUGAACAUAACAAUUUAGGGUCCCUUCUACUUAAAUUAUCAACAUUCAUUAGUAAUUGUUUUCAAGUGUUCUGAUUAGUCCUUUUCAGUGGUCGUGUCUUAAUGUUUAACAUUGUUUUAUGUAUUUGAUGAUUUGUCAUUAUAAUCCACCUUACCAGUCAUUGUUGAGCACAGUGCUCAUCCCUCUAGCAGUAACUGGAGGUAGAGCUGUAACCAGUCAUUGUUGAGCACAGUGCUCAUCCCUCUAGCAGUAACUGGAGGUAGAGCUGUAACCAGUCAUUGUUGAGCACAGUGCUCAUCCCUCUAGCAGUAACUGGAGGUAGAGAUGUAACCAGUCAUUGUUGACCACAGUGCUCAUCCCUCUAGCAGUAACUGUAGGCAGAGAUGUAACCAGUCAUUGUUGAGCACAGUGCUCGUUCCUCUAGCAGUAACUGGAGGUAGAGCUGUAACCAGUCAUUGUUGACCUCAGUGCUCAUCCCUCUAGCAGUAACUGGAGGUAGAGCUGUACGCAUUACAUUGUGCUGCAUUAGUGGUGGUGGUGCACAUUACCUUCUUGAUGGUGGGAAUGGCUUGUCUCAUUAUCUAACUGUAUUUAGCAGAUUUGAUAUCCGUUCAUCAUGAUCAAUUACACCUAAAACUGCUUAAUACUAUUUUAGAAAUAUACUUUUCUUUCUUCAAUCAAGCCAUGUGGCACUAUUACAUAUUCGUAACUUGCAAAAAUGUAAUAAUUCUAUAUCAUCACAACACAGAUAAAUCAAGUGUUUUGACUCUAAUAUCAAUGUGUCUGACUACUACUUAGUGAUUUUAAGUAAAGAUGUAAAACAUAAUAGAGUCAUGUAAGUACAACUUAUUUAAUACAUGUUAGAUUGACUUUAACAUAUUAACUAAUCAUAACCUUAGCAGAAUACAAAUACAUAAAGUUAUAUUUACUAAAUAAUAUAAUAUUUGUUAACAGUACUCAUAAAACUUUAAGUGAUAUGAAAUCUUAUUGACAUGAGUUAGUACCACUUGUAUGAGUUCUACUGACGGUUGGAGAUGUUUGAGUAGCCACUAAUCAAUUCAUUUAAUGAGUUAGGCAGUUACUUUUUACAGUGUAACCAUGGUAGAAAGGCCAUAGGAGAAAAGUUAACCCUUACCUUAACCCCAACCUUUACAAAUACCAACACUACCAAUC
rnacentral:lncRNA from 1 species